UUUAAACUAGUUUUCUCCAUAUUUAACCAGCCAUGUUCCUUCUUUUUUGUUGCUAGUUCCUUGCUGCUUAGGAAAAUAGCCACAUGAAGAAACCCGAAACGGUGGAUUGCAAACCUGAGCAUCGAACCUACGACCUUCGUGCUCAGCUAUGCGAUUCUGUAACAAACACAUCAUCGAUGCUAACAACGACGAGUUCACAGAUGUCGCAUCGUAGACAUCGCUUUUAAAAACAACGUUGUCGAAAACCGUAUUCGUUUAGCUCAAAAACUCGUCGACGAUCCGCCGAACAACGAUGACGGGUAGGAUGUUUACAGUGUUGCCAAAUUUCUUGUAAAGCAAAUUAAAGUAUAAUCGAGAAAAUCUCGACUAACGUUUUUUGGCGUUAUUUCGACAUUUUAAAUCAAUGUAAAUGCUUAAUAUGUAUGUAUAAAACACAUUCUAUUCGUUAUGCAACGAAUAUUUAAUUAAUUAUAUCAUUUUCGAUAUAGAAAAUAAUGACUCAAAUUUUUGACAUUUGUUAUACUAUAGGUUAUGUAGUAUAAUAUAUAGUCUGUGUCAUUUCAAAACUUUUCAAAACCAAAACAAACAUUUUGCUCAUAAUUGGAUUAUAUCUUUAUUUGUCUAAAUACGAGAAUUCAAAGCUCCAAAUGGCUUUAAGCGGUCAAGUGGACUUUAAAAAAAGUUGUACCCCUAACCAACGGCAUUCUACUUGUCCUGUGUUUUAGUUUGUUUCCAAAACUAUCGAAAUGUCUCGCAACGCACUGCCUUCGUUGAGUCAGCUGGAAGAGCUAGUAAGCUUUUUGGAAAGCAAAUCAUGUUUGAUUAUGAGGGGCCAUCAUCAGGCACGAUCCGAAAACAACAGCCCCAUACAGUGACGCAGUGGAUGUAUGAAAAUAUUGGAGCAAUGGUGUAAGUACUGGAAGGACAAAAAGGAGCAGUUCAGAGGGAGUCCGGUUCUAUUGCAGCUGCGAGGCAACAUGAAGAAUUUGCUAGAACUCGGUGUAAUUUAGUUAAAAAUAAAUUCCAUUAUGCGAGGAGAAUGUUUUGGAAUCUGAAUUUAGAUAAAUAAAUCCAUGUUCAUUAUAAAAUACAAAAUAAUAAAAAGACAUGUUGAAUUAAAAUAUUGUUUUAUUAAUUAAUGAUUACAGAAAAGUUAAGUAUUUUUAUAAAAAUU